UGUGCGUCUGGCAGCGCAGGUCCAGCAGCGUGGGCCCCAGGAAGGCGAUGCACAGGCCGAAGCUGAAGAAGACGCUCCAGUAGUAUCAUCACAUUGUCUACCUCCUUCAGGAACCUUUUCUGGACAAAUUCUAUCCAACCCCCAAAUUCUAGCAAGCCCUGGAUCCAUUCCUUGCCCCCUACGGUCUUCACAGUUGUAUCCAUGGACUGCUAACUUCCUCUUCCUGCCACCCUGCUUCCACUGCAGCCAGUGAAACGAUCCUUGUGGAAGAAAGUCGCUGCCGGAGAAUCCCACUCCUUCCUGGUUUCCCAGAGUGCAGAGACCAGUGGUGCAUACACUGCCCCCCGUGCCCCCCAUCUCUCACCAAGCCCUGCCCCCAGUUCAUGGGGGAGCUGAACCUAAAGGAAAUGGCAGAGGGAAAGAUGCCAAAUUCCUUUCCCGUCCAUUUUUGCCCUGGCUUAUUCGAGACUUUGCCCCUAACCUGGCCACUGUUCUCACCCUUUCUCCUAAGACUUCCCAAGAGGGUGAGUCUCAACCCGACAGUCUGGACACCGGCUCCUUCGCAGCAUCGCCCUUGGAUGAGAGCAGCACAAAGGCUGGAGGUGGGGCGCACAUGACCCUGGGCCGACUCGGGCCGUUUCCCAUGUAGCCCAGACCAUUAAAGGUCUCCCCGUGUU